GACAAUAAUGCCCCUUCAACAGAAAAGUCGUACGCUUUAGACAAAUGUGUGUCUAGGGUUUUCUUUCAGAUCUUUCAUCAUUCUGCUCUCACUAUAUCGAUCUUGCUUACUCUCGCCAUCUUGCAACCAUUACUGAUGUCAAUAUCUCUCAACGGCUUCCUGUUUAGGUUGUUUGUGUCCUGAAGUGUCUUGCUCUCUAAUCUCAAGGGGUUUUCUUCCAGCUCUUUGCUUAAUUACAACAAUCCGAGUUACAGAAUACAAGAUUCAGUUUGGAGGUUGGCUUUACAAGGACUCAAGUUGGUUCUACUAUUUCUGAUUCUGACUUCAUCCGGAUUUAGUACUUCAACAAUGGAUUUUGUUGUUGGGAUCGUUUGAAGAUUGUCUAAAGUUCGUUACUUUACUUUUAAGGUAGGUGUUAAGGAAGUUAUGUUUUAUGCCUUAUUGAAGUGUGGUUUACUAACAUUUUUCUUAACUUUUCGUCUGGAUAUGCAUACAUGUUAGAGGCUAAUACUAUUAUCGUGUUUAUUAUUAUGAUAAUUUUAGUCGUAUUCUAAAAUGUCAUGCGUACCAGGGUCUCUUCUUAGGCUGAUACUUUUAAUUCUGGUCAUCCGUCUGGUUAUGCAUAUAUGUUAGAGGUUAAUACUAUUGUCGUGUUGGUUA